GGCAUGGGUUUACAGCAGGAGGAAGGAAUGUCAUCCAUUCACUGACAGUUUGAAGGCCCAGGGGAAGUGGCUUCUGGGCCACCAUCCAUCCCACCACUCCAAGCCCAGAGGAAGGGGUUUCUGAUCCACUGUCCCACUGCUCCUGGCCCAGAAGAAGGGGCUUCUGAACCACCAUCCCAUUGCUCUCAGCUGAGAGGAAGGCGCUUCCAGGCUGAUGUCUGUCCUGCCAAUCCCAGCCCAGAGGAAGGGGCUUCUGAGCUACCAUCCCACCAGUCUCGGACCAGAGGUAUGGG
rnacentral:lncRNA from 1 species